rnacentral:tRNA from 2 species
GCGGGCGUGGCGGAAUUGGCAGACGCGCAGGAUUUAGGUUCCUGUUCUUCGGAGUGUGGGUUCAAGUCCCACCGCCCGUACUA